GCAGUCGAACGAUGAAGCCGCUUCGGUGGUGGAUUAGUGGCGAACGGGUGAGUAACACGUGGGCAAUCUGCCCUUCACUCUGGGACAAGCCCUGGAAACGGGGUCUAAUACCGGAUAAUACUCUGUUCCGCAUGGAACGGGGUUGAAAGCUCCGGCGGUGAAGGAUGAGCCCGCGGCCUAUCAKCUUGUUGGUGGGGUAAUGGCCUACCAAGGCGACGACGGGUAGCCGGCCUGAGAGGGCGACCGGCCACACUGGGACUGAGACACGGCCCAGACUCCUACGGGAGGCAGCAGUGGGGAAUAUUGCACAAUGGGCGGAAGCCUGAUGCAGCGACGCCGCGUGAGGGAUGACGGCCUUCGGGUUGUAAACCUCUUUCAGCAGGGAAGAAGCGCAAGUGACGGUACCUGCAGAAGAAGCGCCGGCUAACUACGUGCCAGCAGCCGCGGUAAUACGUAGGGCGCAAGCGUUGUCCGGAAUUAUUGGGCGUAAAGAGCUCGUAGGCGGCUUGUCACGUCAGAUGUGAAAGCCCGGGGCUUAACCCCGGGUCUGCAUUCGAUACGGGCUAGCUAGAGUGUGGUAGGGGAGAUCGGAAUUCCUGGUGUAGCGGUGAAAUGCGCAUAUAUCAGGAGGAACACCGGUGGCGAAGGCGGAUCUCUGGGCCAUUACUGACGCUGAGGAGCGAAAGCGUGGGGAGCGAACAGGAUUAGAUACCCUGGUAGUCCACGCCGUAAACGUUGGGAACUAGGUGUUGGCGAYAUUCCACGUCGUCGGUGCCGCAKCUAACGYAUUAAGUUCCCCGCCUGGG
rnacentral:rRNA from 1 species